CAGCCGCCGCGGUAAUGCGAAGGGGGCUAGCGUUGCUCGGAAUUACUGGGCGUAAAGGGCGCGUAGGCGGACAGUUCAGUCAGGGGUGAAAGCCCGGGGCUCAACCUCGGAAUUGCCUUUGAUACUGGCUGUCUUGAGUACGGGAGAGGUGUGUGGAACUCCGAGUGUAGGGGUGAAAUUCGUAGAUAUUCGGAAGAACACCGGUGGCGAAGGCGGCAACCUGGCUCAUUACUGACGCUGAGGCGCGAAAGCGUGGGGAGCAAACAGGAUUAGAUACCCCGGUAGUCCCUGUCUCUUAUAC
rnacentral:rRNA from 1 species